AAAUUGAAGAGUUUGAUCAUGGCUCAGAUUGAACGCUGGCGGCAGGCCUAACACAUGCAAGUCGAACGGUAACAGGAAGCAGCUUGCUGCUUCGCUGACGAGUGGCGGACGGGUGAGUAAUGUCUGGGAAACUGCCUGAUGGAGGGGGAUAACUACUGGAAACGGUAGCUAAUACCGCAUAACGUCGCAAGACCAAAGAGGGGGACCUUCGGGCCUCUUGCCAUCGGAUGUGCCCAGAUGGGAUUAGCUAGUAGGUGGGGUAACGGCUCACCUAGGCGACGAUCCCUAGCUGGUCUGAGAGGAUGACCAGCCACACUGGAACUGAGACACGGUCCAGACUCCUACGGGAGGCAGCAGUGGGGAAUAUUGCACAAUGGGCGCAAGCCUGAUGCAGCCAUGCCGCGUGUAUGAAGAAGGCCUUCGGGUUGUAAAGUACUUUCAGCGGGGAG
rnacentral:rRNA from 1 species